ensembl:lincRNA
UGGAACUGAUCACCGAGUCCUCUAAGCCAGAAGUGAUUGCAGAAAACAUCUUGUUCAGGGCCCUUGAGCAAAAUUCCCACUGCUGUGUGUCUAUGGCACACAUCACUAAUAGAUUACUGCACUUACCCUUUGUAGAACCCUUACCGGACUCACCUGCGAUGAGUUGAGAAUCCACAUGGAAGAAUCCACAAGUUCUCUGUGUGAUCCCACAUCUAGUCCAAAAGCACAGAGAGGCUGUGAAACUUGCCCAAGGUCACACAGCUAGUGUGUGGCGGAGCUGGGACACAGAUUAAAAGCUUUGCCCUUUAGGUGUGUGUUUUCUCUACCACAUCAGAGUUUCUCUGGUGGGGGACUUGAAGCACUGUGGGCAGGGUAAUUUGCACUGCAUUAAACAACAUUAAGUCACCUUAUCAACUGUCUUUUACUACUGAUUACUUCAAGGAGGAAAUCUCAAUUUGGAGCUUAUAUAUAUAUAUAUAUAAUAUAUGGGCCCCAGGAUCAGACAUUGUUGGCCGACGGAUCUUGCUAGAGUUGUUUUGCUUCUUCUGGUAUAUUUUACACGGGUACUUAUUGCAAGUCAUCCUAAGUUUCCAUUUUUGGAAAUUGCCAUUAAUUUUUUUUUCAUUUUAUAAUACAUCUAUAUUAGUAGUGAAAGAGUGGUCGGAUUUUAAGGAAAAAUCCUGAAGAGGAGCACAGAUGAGAGAUGCAUGGGUACCGCAAAGUUGCGCGGGCCCAGGGAGGAUGCCCGAGCUUUGGGAAAGUCUCGGAGGGGCGCCUCUGAGGGCGCUGUCCCCUACUCUCCUGCAGGAGCUGUCGGCCGAGCAGAUCGCCUCCCUGGGUCCUGAAAACGCGGCGGCGGUGACCCCUGCCCAGCGCCGGCAGCUCAGCAUGUUGCAGCUGCAGAGCCUCCAGCGGGCGGUAGAUGGCGCCAAGGCUCGCUCCUGGCUGGACGCGCCUCCGAGCGCCAGCCCCGCCCGGACCCCCUCCUCUCUUUCUCCUCCAGGAGCCUGGGUCUCCGGGGGUCUUGGGCUGGGCUACCCUCUCCUGGUCCUGAUGCCCAAGCUUAUGUGGUGAGUGGUGUUUGCGCAUCGCCCUGGGGCUCAGGCAGCUGGCCAAGGUGCUUGCAGACCGCGAGGACGCUGCAGAGGGUGGGAGUCCCCCACCUCGACUCAGAGCCUCAACAAGGGCAAGGAGACCCUGGGACUUUGGAACUGAAGAGGCACUAAAGGAAGAAUAAUUAUUAAAAUAUGGCCUUGCACCUUCUUAAACUGGCUUGUAUCCUCAGCAGGGAGACCUCAUCUCAGCCUCCCUAGUUUUCCAGCUUGGAGACAGAGAAGCUGGGGAGGGGAGACCAUUUCCUGUCAACAGCAUGAAGACAUUAGUACAAGUUAACACCCUCCCUCUCGAGGGAGAUGCCAGCCAGCGAUGGGUGCAGGCCAAGGCCCCCAGUCUCACCAAGGCCUGCUCUGGCUUCUCUUCUGGUUUUAAUUUCCCCUCCUUGGAGAUAUAGGCCAUAUUGGAUUUCUCCUUCUUAGAUAUUUAGCAGAGCUGAAAUAAAUGAAUUCCAUAACAGACGCCGAUAUUCCUGCCUGAUUGUUGGGAUUAAUUGAUGUUUUGGUGGGCAUUGCAUUGCUUGGAAAUUAAAAUAUUUAACAUGGCUCAACAUUAAAUCAAUUUAAAACUACAU